GAUGAACGCUGGCGGCGUGCUUAACACAUGCAAGUCGAACGGAGCUGCAUGGAGGAAGUUUUCGGAUGGAAUUUAGGUAGACUUAGUGGCGGACGGGUGAGUAACGCGUGGAUAACCUGCCCUUAUACAGGGGGAUAACGGAGAGAAAUUUCCGCUAACACCGCAUAAGACCACAGCACCGCAUGGUGCAGGGGUAAAAUAUUUAUAGGUAUAAGAUGGAUCCGCGUCCGAUUAGCUAGUUGGUGAGGUAAAGGCCCACCAAGGCGACGAUCGGUAGCCGGCCUGAGAGGGUGAACGGCCACAUUGGGACUGAGACACGGCCCAAACUCCUACGGGAGGCAGCAGUGGGGAAUAUUGGACAAUGGGGGAAACCCUGAUCCAGCGACGCCGCGUGAGUGAAGAAGUAUUUCGGUAUGUAAAGCUCUAUCAGCAGGGAAGAAAAUGACGGUACCUGACUAAGAAGCCCCGGCUAACUACGUGCCAGCAGCCGCGGUAAUACGUAGGGGGCAAGCGUUAUCCGGAUUUACUGGGUGUAAAGGGAGCGCAGACGGCAAUGCAAGUCUGAAGUGAAAGGCGUGGGCUCAACCCAUGAACUGCUUUGGAAACUGUAUAGCUUGAGUGUCGGAGGGGUAAGCGGAAUUCCUAGUGUAGCGGUGAAAUGCGUAGAUAUUAGGAGGAACACCGGAGGCGAAGGCGGCUUACUGGACGACAACUGACGUUGAGGCUCGAAGGCGUGAGGAGCAAACAGG
rnacentral:rRNA from 1 species